GACGAACGCUGGCGGCGUGCCUAAUACAUGCAAGUAGAACGCUGAAGAGAGGAGCUUGCUCUUCUUGGAUGAGUUGCGAACGGGUGAGUAACGCGUAGGUAACCUGCCUUGUAGCGGGGGAUAACUAUUGGAAACGAUAGCUAAUACCGCAUAACAAUGGAUGACACAUGUCAUUUAUUUGAAAGGGGCAAUUGCUCCACUACAAGAUGGACCUGCGUUGUAUUAGCUAGUAGGUGAGGUAACGGCUCACCUAGGCGACGAUACAUAGCCGACCUGAGAGGGUGAUCGGCCACACUGGGACUGAGACACGGCCCAGACUCCUACGGGAGGCAGCAGUAGGGAAUCUUCGGCAAUGGGGGCAACCCUGACCGAGCAACGCCGCGUGAGUGAAGAAGGUUUUCGGAUCGUAAAGCUCUGUUGUAAGUCAAGAACGAGUGUGAGAGUGGAAAGUUUACACUGUGACGGUAGCUUACCAGAAAGGGACGGCUAACUACGUG
rnacentral:rRNA from 1 species